GCACUGGUGGGGUAGUGGUAACCUGGAUCGUUGCCAUGAGUACUACUACUUCGAUCCGCCCCGGGUUCAAUUCCCGGCCAGUGCA